rnacentral:rRNA from 1 species
UACGUAGGGGGCUAGCGUUGUCCGGAAUCAUUGGGCGUAAAGAGCGUGUAGGCGGUCCGGUAAGUCCGCUGUGAAAGUCGGGGGCUCAACCCUCGAAUGCCGGUGGAUACUGUCGGGCUAGAGUGCGGAAGAGGCGAGUGGAAUUCCUGGUGUAGCGGUGAAAUGCGCAGAGUAUCAGGAGGAACACCUAUUGCGAAGGCAGCUCGCUGGGACGGUACUGACGCUGAGGCGCGAAAGCGUGGGGAGCAAACAGG